CGGGCUGGGCGGCCGGGUUGAGCAGUUCGCUGAAGGCGCCCUGGAGGAGGGCGGGUGCGACCGCCGCCUCGCCCGCCC
rnacentral:tRNA from 1 species